rnacentral:lncRNA from 1 species
CCAAUAUCAGCACCAUGGCCUGGACUCCUCUCUUUCUGUUCCUCCUCACUUGCUGCCCAGGGUCCAAUUCUCAGACUGUGGUGACUCAGGAGCCCUCACUGACUGUGUCCCCAGGAGGGACAGUCACUCUCACCUGUGCUUCCAGCACUGGAGCAGUCACCAGUGGUUACUAUCCAAACUGGUUCCAGCAGAAACCUGGACAAGCACCCAGGGCACUGAUUUAUAGUACAAGCAACAAACACUCCUGGACCCCUGCCCGGUUCUCAGGCUCCCUCCUUGGGGGCAAAGCUGCCCUGACACUGUCAGGUGUGCAGCCUGAGGACGAGGCUGAGUAUUACUGCCUGCUCUACUAUGGUGAUAGAGCAAUGACUCUGACCCCCUGCCCCUCAUCCACCCCGCAGGUCAGCCCAAGGCUGCCCCCUCGGUCACUCUGUUCCCACCCUCCUCUGAGGAGCUUCAAGCCAACAAGGCCACACUGGUGUGUCUCAUAAGUGACUUCUACCCGGGAGCCGUGACAGUGGCCUGGAAGGCAGAUAGCAGCCCCGUCAAGGCGGGAGUGGAGACCACCACACCCUCCAAACAAAGCAACAACAAGUACGCGGCCAGCAGCUACCUGAGCCUGACGCCUGAGCAGUGGAAGUCCCACAAAAGCUACAGCUGCCAGGUCACGCAUGAAGGGAGCACCGUGGAGAAGACAGUGGCCCCUACAGAAUGUUCAUAGGUUCUCAUCCCUCACCCCCCACCACGGGAGACUAGAGCUGCAGGAUCCCAGGGGAGGGGUCUCUCCUCCCACCCCAAGGCAUCAAGCCCUUCUCCCUGCACUCAAUAAACCCUCAAUAAAUAUUCUCAUUGUCA